UUGUCAAGUGCCAACGCAUCUUCCACGUCAAGGAAACUCACUCCCAAACAUGGCUUUUACAAUUAAUGAAAUCGUGUUUCAGAUUGAAAAUGAAGAGAAAAAGACAUUUACGCUGUAGACAUCUCCUUCCCGAAAUCGGAGCAACUUCUAAAUCUGUGAAGAGCCCUAUGUUCACCUUAAGAACCCUAACGUCUUGAAAUUGAUUUCAAGAGAAUCUCACACGGAGUCUUCAACAACCCAUUCAAUUAUUUGAAGUUGACGUCUGUAUUCCUAAUCAGCAUAUUUUAAUGGUAGGAAAGAACAAGGGGAUUUGUUGUGGUUGCGGGAAGUCGGGCCACUACCUAUUGGAUUGUCGCAUAAAGAGACCGUGCUUGGUAUGUGGCAAGGGAAUUGAGAAAUCUAUGGAUGUUGAAAACUUAGGUUGGCUAUUCUUUUGUUGUACGAAUGACUGCAGUUAUUUCAAGUGGCUCGACGAAUACAAACUUUGCCAAUUUCAGGUAGAGUCAAGUGCUAUGUCGAAUGAAUUGGAGUUAUCAAGCUUGCUGAAGAAUGUUGCUAAAAUAGCUAGAGAAAAGGAUGUUGAUAUUUCUGUGAAAUUUACUUUUCUCAAGGGAAAAGGAGAAACACAUAACGUGUAACUAAAUGGAGGAGCUCCGUGAAAAUGAAUGGCUUAUGUGUCAAUUUGUUUGUAGGCAUCAAAACUAGGAAUUAUGUGAAUCCCAGUAACUUAAUGUUGUGUAUGUAAUUUGAAGUGUCUAGUUUCAAUCUCCUAUGAAACGUCGAUGUUGUUUGAUA